ensembl:lncRNA
AUAUAUGUUUUGGCAUAAGGAUUAUUUGAGGCUGGUUAUUUUUAAGAAACAGCAGACAUUUGAGAAGCUCUGGAAACCAAGUAGAAGUUACCCUUUGUAAAAAAUAUUUACAUUUGUAAAGGAAAUCACUUUUGUAAGGCUGACUCUCUCACUGUACCAGGAAGACGGGGCUUACCUUAUCUCUAGAAAGUCUUAUCAAUGGAGGAGGUGAUGACUUAAAUAAUAACUUCAUCCUUGUUUACUGUGCUUUUCCUGGGAACCUCACGUAAUUGACUCCCUCCACCUGCAACAACUUCUUUGGUCUGUAGCUGAAGAUGGUAUUUAAGGUGGUGGCAUCGGCUAUUUUGAAGCGCUUUAAGUUCUUAGUCUCUGGUGGAUUGUGGAUCGCCUAUCAGUAGCAGAACUUCCUGGGGUGGUUGGAAAUAUGCAGAUUUCUGUUCUGUCAGCCCCAAGCUGUGAAUUAAAUUGUGGGAUCUGGCUGAGAAAUCUUCAUUUCUAAAGCAUCCAUUUUGUGUGGUUACGUAGCCUCCAGGGGCCUUGAACUGCGUAGCCCCUCCCUAGAGCGCAUGCCUUAAAGAACAGCCUGCAGAGUCACAGGUGAGUCUAAUUUCCUGAUAAGCCCCUGGUAAUAAAUAGUCUCCCCUGAUUCCCAGCUCCUUCUCCUGGCUUGUGCCUUAGGUAAGACCCCCACGCAACUUACCAAAGCUCUGCUCUUUCUGGUUUGAAGCGACCAAUCCAGCCUUAGCCUGGGAACCCCAAAACAUUCUACCCUUGGACUCUAAUAAAAGCGUAUGUCCCAGAUCCUGCUGCUCAUACUCUGCCUGCACCCUGCCUUGACCUCCCUGUGUGGCUCCUCGAGAUACCUCCUCCAGGACCUGAACCACAUCUAACCACACCCCUUCAAAUCAUCUACCUGCAAAGAAGGAGGGGAAACCCAGAUGUCAGCAGAACAGAGGAGCGGAAGGAUAUUGGAAGAGCAGCAGUUAUAGCAUCUCAAAGAGCGAGUGUUAUGGACAAGAGCCCCGGCGAAGGCCACUGUGCCGUGUGACACCUCCGAUGCCUCAUUUAGAGGGAUUUCAAAAGGAUUAAAUAAUGUAUAUAAAGCAUGCAACAAGGGUUAAAAAAAAUGUGAUUUUGGUCCUCUUGGUUUCUCUGAUGCUGCUGGGGCUCCCAUUUGCCUGAAGGGGCAUUCCUGUGAGUCAGCAUCCUCUCUAAUCAACAUGUUGCAGAAAAGUGUUUACACACAACAUCCAGAGAAGAGGUGGGAUGCCUACCACAGCAUGGCAUGCCUAGCGGUGCCAUGUCCGCAGCCGGGAUCUGAACUGGCGAACCCUGGGUCUCUGAGAAGUGGAACAUGCGAACUUAACCACUGCACCACCGGGACUAUAAUUGUCUGGAGCAGAAGAGAAAAGAUUGAUGUCUGGAUGAGAACAAGAGAACUGAGAAGAUUAAAUUAUUUCAGUAUGAAUCAAAUCACUCAUCUCUUUUCUGCUUAUUGGCUAGAUCACAAAGACGGUUUUACCGACUCUGACUUUUUAUGUCACUGGCCAUGUGGAAUCCUUACAUGCUGCUAGGUCCCCUGUUCUCAUAUUUCAUAGAAGUUCAAAGUAAGAUGAUAUAUCGCAAUUUGCAUUUAUCCUAGAGUUUGUAUAGGUGUUGCAUUUUAGUCUACUAUUCGGGAACAUAUGUAACACAUGGUACAAGGUUAAAAUGAGGAAAAUAAAAUGAAAAAAUG